AACGCGAAGAACCUUACCUGGGUUUGACAUGCACAGGACGCGUCUAGAGAUAGGCGUUCCCUUGUGGCCUGUGUGCAGGUGGUGCAUGGCUGUCGUCAGCUCGUGUCGUGAGAUGUUGGGUUAAGUCCCGCAACGAGCGCAACCCUUGUCUCAUGUUGCCAGCACGUGAUGGUGGGGACUCGUGAGAGACUGCCGGGGUCAACUCGGAGGAAGGUGGGGAUGACGUCAAGUCAUCAUGCCCCUUAUGUCCAGGGCUUCACACAUGCUACAAUGGCCGGUACAAAGGGCUGCGAUGCCGUGAGGUGGAGCGAAUCCUUUCAAAGCCGGUCUCAGUUCGGAUCGGGGUCUGCAACUCGACCCCGUGAAGUCGGAGUCGCUAGUAAUCGCAGAUCAGCAACGCUGCGGUGAAUACGUUCCCGGGCCUUGUA
rnacentral:rRNA from 1 species